CAAUGUAUGGCGCUGGGCGAGUGUCUAAGUGGUGAUGGGCUUAGGCAAGACAGCAAAGACAAGGCGGCUGGAGUGUCGGCAAGGCAGCCUUGAGUUUGUGGGCAUCGGCUAAGGCAAUAGACGCAUGGCACUUGACAAAGGCAUGCGCGCGGAUCGGUGGGACGGCUUAACUCAUGGCAGGGCGUGGCUAUGAAGUUAAGGGCGAGGCAAGGUCCAAGGCUAAAGCGGGGCAAGGUGCGGGCAGGCCGGAUGCAAGCAUGCGCGGCAUGUGACGAAGCUGUGUGCGCGGCACAUGACGAAGCUGGGGCGCGGCACAUGAUGAAGCUGUGGGCAAAGCAGCCACAUCCGAGAUCAUGGGCGAGUGGUUGAAUGCAUGUCCGAGAUCAUGGGCAAGUGGUUGAAGACAUGAUCAAAGAUCAUGGGCAAGUGGCUGACAUGAUCCCCUUUGUAACUGUCCCCCUUUGUAACUGCCAUUGGCAGCCCCUUUAUUUAUAUGCAUUUCGUAUAUGGCUAAGGCAUUCAGAAAACACUUGUGAGCCAAGCCUAAAAACGUGAUUCCUUGUAUUAUUCUGAGAGAGAUAAUAAAGGUUGGGUUUUUACCCGUAAACUGUGUGUGUGUUCUUAAGUUUGGUUCAAGCCUGAAAUUGUCUAAGUAAGGCUGUGUUGUGUGGAAAAGGUGACGGGC
rnacentral:lncRNA from 1 species